rfam:Alligator mississippiensis ScZkoYb_6639, whole genome shotgun sequence.
CGCGCGACAGCGGGCAACGGAAUCCCAAAAGCAGCUGUCUUCCGCUCGGCACCUCAGCUGCGCUUGGAUUUCGUUCCCUGCUCUCCCGCCC